UCAGACGGCCGGAUGGCUGCUGCUUAUACGCAGAGGAAAGUCCGGGCUCCACGGAGACACGGUGCCGGGUAACCCCCGGCCAGGGCAACCUGAGGGAAAGUGCCACAGAAAAUAUACCGCCUAGCAAUAGGUAAGGGUGAAAUGGUGCGGUAAGAGCGCACCGCGCUUCUGGUAACAGAAGCGGCACGGUAAACCCCACCGGGAGCAAGACCAAAUAGGGAUGUAUAUGUGCCGUCUCCGGCGCGCAUCCGGGUAGGUUGCUCGAGGCUGUUGGUAACAACAGUCCCAGAUGAAUAGCCAUCCCCAUGCUUGCAUGCGGACAGAACCCGGCUUACAGGCCGUCUGACCUU
rnacentral:RNase_P_RNA from 1 species